CAUCUAUACUAGAAUCAUCAAAUAUCUAGAAUCAAAAUUCAAUUUUUUCCAAAUACUGAGUACAAAACAGAAGCAAAAAUCUUAAGUAACUUUGCAUAAAUUGUGCGUUAAGUUUUGUGCAAACCAAAAUGGAAACGAAACAUUACUAGCGAAUUGGUGGAGUAGGGUUAGGACAGCGUUAUGAAUAAAGUUUUUGCUCGGAAAGCAAUGCUAUAAUCGAGGAAUUAAGUUGUGAAUGGGCAUUCGUGGAUGCGAAGUGGCAGUGGCAUUGGCGCAUCAAGUAUACGCAACGUUGGCCAGCACCAGGCAAAUAACAAAUAUCACUGCCCGGUCCUGGAAUUUCGACAUCGAAAUGGAAAGAGAGAGAGAAACGAUGGUCAGAACGAGAGGCAAAUAAAGAUAAAUAGUGUUUGGAAAUGUUUUCGCGUUGCCUCUGCAGAUGAAACGAAAAUCCAUAGACUCUGGACCGAUGCGAAGCGAAGGUCCUGGGAGAAUCCUACGCGUUCUCCACAAAUAUCUCCCUGUUUUCCCCAUUUCGCUGUCGUAUAAAUAAAUACGUAGCCAGCAUCGCA